UGUAGCAGCAGCAUACUGAGAUUGAUUCACAGUAUGAAGCUCAAAUAACCUAAGCUGAGCUGUCAGGGCCCUGGACUCAACUGGCCUCUUCUUCCAAGAGUAUGACAUUAUUUCUUUUUCAAUCUGGAAUUCAUGGUUGUAGAAUUCACCACAGUGUAUUUAAACCCUGGAGACAAGCAGACUGCCCGGCCCCACAACAACAGAGCAGCCCAUCAGCCUGGACCCCGAACAGACGACCAGCUCCUCCUGGCUAUCUGGUCGUCUGGUCCAUGACUUCUCUUGGAAGACGGCAUCUCGUUCUUGGCUGGGGAAGAGAAACUCUGGGCCUUUUUUCUGACUAUAGCGUCGAAGCACCAGUCAGUGUAUUCCUUCAGAGCAUCCAAAUUCUCCUUGUUGUCCUCCAGGGUGUUGGACAUUAUUAUGCAGAUAUGUGUUGUUGUCUGUCAAUUUUCUGGUGUGUUUUAAGCUUCAAAAAGUGUCUGUUUAAUCUUUAUUCCCCCCAAGUCUCCAGCGUCUGACCUCACCUAGCAUUUCCGUUCCACCUAGCAUCUACCCAGGAAGACUUCUACAUUAUUAGUGCGAUUUCUCCCUCUGAAAAAUAGAGGGGGGUGGAUCGAUACAAAUAUUGAUAGUUUAUUUGUCAGGAUCUGACGGCGCCCUGACCGGUCGACCUGCCAGUGUGUGUAUAUCUGUGUGCGGGUGUAUGUGUCUCUCCUAUCGCCCUGUCUUCCCCUCCGGCUCCGCUGAGAUGUGUUAGGAGGUAACCUAGCAACAGGCUACCUCCGACCCGGAAGUGCUGUCGCCCGGAGCUGCCACACCUGCAGUCAAUCCACCAGCUGCUGCCAAUCAACUAUCAUCUUCAGCAGGGCUACUUAAUGGUGUGGCUGAGCGACAGACAGCGCUGGAGUAUUGCACUAAGCCUGGGAUUGACGGAGGAUUUACGGACACUAAGGAAGCACUUGGAGGAGAGACGGGCACUCACUACCACGCACGGGCUUACACGGAAGGAGGGACGCACUAUCACCAUUGUUGCACAUUUGAACUGUUGUCACCUUGCUGCACUGUAAAUAAAUGCACUGUCAUUA